rnacentral:tRNA from 1 species
AAGAUUUUAAGUUAUAAUUAAUUAAACUUUAAACCUUCAAAGUUUAAUAAAUAAAAUAUUUUUAUAAAUCUUA